rnacentral:rRNA from 1 species
GACGAACGCUGGCGGCGUGCUUAACACAUGCAAGUCGAACGGUGAAGCGCCUUCCUUUUUGGUGGGUGUGGAUGAGUGGCGAACGGGUGAGUAACACGUUAGUAACCUGCCCCCUUCUUCUGGAUAACCGCAUGAAAGUGUGGCUAAUACGGGAUAUUCUGGGUCUGUCGCAUGAUGGGUCUGGGAAAGAUAUUGUUUCGGUGGGGGAUGGGCUCGCGGCCUGUCAGCUUGUUGGGUGGGUGCUGGCCUACCAAGGCGCUGACGGCUAGCCGGCGUGAGAGAGCGGACGGUCAGGCAGGGACACAGGGCCGAGCCACACUCCUAAGGCAGGCAGCAGGAGGCAAUAGUGAACGAGGGGAGCCAGACUGAUGCAGCGAGGGCGCGUGAAGGAUGGAGGCCGUCGGGUUGUGAACGUCUUACGCCAGUGAAGAAGGCCUGCCUCGUUUGUGCAUAGGUUGACGGUAGCUGGACAAAAAGCGCCGGCUAACUACGUG